ACUGGGAGAGGCCGCAGGGCACGCUGGGCAGCGCCUCUGGGUCCUCUGCUGCUCCUGCCUGUCGGUUGCUAGGCGCUGGGACGCGCCUCCCGAAGGGUGCGGGGCACAGGUGGCCUCUUCGGGGUGGGCCGCGCCUGGCCGGGGCCGAGGACACCGCGGCCGCCCGGGCCUGCGGGAAGCGAUGGAGCCCGGGAAGAGAAGAACCAAAGAUGAUACCUGGAAAGCAAAUGACCUCAGAAAACAUCUCUGGGCCAUACAGUCAGGUGGUCCCAAGGAAGAAAGAAAGCACAGAGAGAAGAAGCUGCGUAAGGAGUCUGAGAUGGACCUUCCUGAACAUAAGGAGCCGAGGUGCAGGGAUCCCGACCAGGAUGCCAGGAGCAGAGACAGGGUGGCCGAAGUCCACACCGCUAAGGAGAGUCCUCGUGGGGAGAGGGACAGAGACAGACAGAGGGAGAGGAGAAGAGACGCAAAAGACCGGGAGAAAGAAAAGCUGAAGGAGAAACAUCGAGAGGCAGAGAAGUCUCACAGCAGAGGAAAGGACAGGGAAAAAGAAAAAGACAGAAGGGCCCGGAAGGAAGAACUCCGGCAGACCGUGGCCCACCACAACCUGCUGGGCCAGGAGACACGCGACCGGCAGCUCCUGGAGCGGGCAGAGAGGAAAGGCCGCUCAGUAAGUAAAGUAAGAAGUGAAGAGAAAGAUGAAGACUCUGAAAGAGGAGAUGAAGAUAGAGAAAGAAGAUACCGAGAAAGAAAGCUGCGGUACGGAGACAGCAAGGACAACCCUCUCAAGUACUGGCUUUAUAAAGAAGAAGGCGAGAGGAGACACAGGAAGCCCAGAGAGCCAGAUCGAGACAAGAAACACCGAGAAAAAAGCAGCACAAGGGAAAAAAGAGAGAAAUAUUCCAAAGAGAAAAGUAAUUCAUUCUCUGACAAAGGGGAAGAAAGACAUAAAGAAAAGCGACACAAAGAAGGUUUUCAUUUUGAUGAUGAGAGGCACCGAAGCAACGUGGAUAGAAAAGAGAAAUCAGCAAAAGAUGAGCACAGGAAAAGGGAAUCCAAGGACGGUGAACACAGAAAUCGAGGUGCAAGCUCAAAAAGAGAUGGGACCAGCAGCCAACAUGCUGAGAAUUUAGUAAGGAAUCACGGAAAAGAUAAAGAUUCAAGACAGAAGCAUGGCCACGAGGAAGGCUCUUCCGUGUGGUGGAAGCUGGACCAGAGGCCGGGAGGCGAGGAAACUGUGGAAAUUGAAAAGGAAGAAACUGAUUUAGAAAAUGCUAGAGCUGAUGCAUAUACAGCCAGUUGUGAAGAUGAUUUUGAAGACUAUGAAGAUGACUUUGAGGUUUGUGAUGGCGAUGAUGAUGAAAGCAGUAAUGAACCUGAGUCAAGAGAAAAACUGAAAGAACUUCCUCUAGCUCAAAAAAAGGAAAUACAAGAAAUUCAAAGAGCUAUUAAUGCAGAAAAUGAAAGGAUUGGGGAGUUAUCUUUGAAACUGUUUCAGAAGCGAGGUAGAACAGAAUUUGAAAAGGAGCCCAGGACAGAGGUGGCAGAACUCAGCUGGGCAGUGCUGAUAGAGCGUUCUUUAAACUUACAGCUAAAGGGCACCUGUCCUGGUAGAGAUACAAACAGUUCCCCUUCCAGAGCCUCCGUUUGUGGAAUUUUUGUGGAUUUUGCCUCAGCUUCACACCGUCAAAAGAGUCGGACUCAGGCCCUUAAGCAAAAGAUGCGAAGUACAAAACUGCUUCGGCUCAUUGACUUAGAUUUUUCAUUUACUUUCUCUCUCUUGGAUCUACCACCAGUAAAUGAAUAUGACAUGUAUAUCAGAAACUUUGGGAAAAAAAAUACCAAGCAGGCAUAUGUUCAGUGUAACGAAGAUAAUGUUGAAAGAGACAUUCAAACGGAGGAAAUAGAGACCAGGGAAGUGUGGACCCAGCACCCAGGAGAAAGUACUGUUGUGUCUGGAGGCAGUGAACAAAGAGAUACCUCUGAUGCUGUAGUUAUGCCAAAGAUUGAUACUCCAAGGUUAUGUAGCUUUCUGCGGGUGGCUUGUCAGGUGAUGGCCGUUUUGCUGGAAGAGGAUCGCUUGGCAGCUGAACCCAGCUGGAAUCUUAGGGCUCAAGACAGGGCCCUGUAUUUUAGUGACAGCUCAUCUCAGCUGAACACCAGUCUGCCAUUCCUUCAAAAUCGAAAAGUAUCCUCCUUGCACACCUCCCGAGUUCAGAGGCAGAUGGUGGUCUCCGUUCACGACUUACCCGAGAAGAGCUUUGUGCCCCUGCUGGACAGCAAAUACGUCCUCUGUGUGUGGGAUAUUUGGCAGCCUUCAGGGCCACAGAAGGUUCUGAUAUGUGAGUCCCAGGUCACGUGUUGCUGCUUGAGCCCUUUGAAAGCAUUUUUACUGUUUGCCGGAACAGCGCACGGCUCGGUUGUCGUCUGGGAUUUGAGAGAAGACUCAAGGCUGCAUUACUCUGUGACGCUGAGCGAUGGCUUCUGGACGUUCCGGACCGCCACGUUUUCCACCGAUGGAAUCCUUACCUCAGUAAACCACCAAAGCCCUCUUCAAGCAGUAGAACCUAUCUCAACGUCCAUCCACAAAAAGCAGAGCUUUGUGCUUUCACCCUUUUCUACUCAAGAAGAAAUGUCAGGUUUGUCCUUCCACAUCGCUUCCUUGGAUGAGAGUGGGGUUCUCAAUGUGUGGGUGGUUGUUGAAUUACCAAAGGCAGACAUCGCAGGUUCAAUAAGUGAUUUAGGUCUGAUGCCUGGAGGGAGGGUCAAGCUGGUACAUAGUGCUCUGAUCCAGUUGGGUGACAGUCUUUCCCAUAAAGGUAAUGAAUUUUGGGGCACUACACAAACACUGAAUGUUAAAUUUCUGCCUUCAGAUCCUAAUCACUUUAUUAUUGGCACAGACAUGGGUUUCAUAAGCCAUGGCACAAGACAAGAUUUGAGAGUGGCUCCCAAACUAUUCAAACCUCAGCAACAUGGUAUAAGACCAGUGAAAGUUAAUGUCAUUGAUUUUUCACCAUUUGGAGAACCGAUAUUUUUGGCCGGCUGUUCGGACGGAAGCAUCAGGCUGCACCAGCUGAGCUCCGCGUUUCCGCUCCUGCAGUGGGACAGCAGCACGGACAGCCAUGCGGUCACCGGCCUGCAGUGGUCCCCAACCAGGCCUGCUGUAUUCCUGGUGCAGGACGACACAUCCAACAUCUACAUCUGGGACCUCCUCCAGAGCGAUCUGGGUCCUGUCGCCAAACAGCAGGUCUCCCCCAACAGGCUGGUGGCCAUGGCUGCGGUGGGUGAGCCCGAGAAGGCUGGUGGCAGCUUCCUGGCCCUGGUGCUGGCCAGGGCGUCUGGCUCCAUCGACAUCCAGCACCUGAAGAGGCGGUGGGCGGCCCCGGAGGUGGACGAGUGCAACAGGCUGCGUCUGCUUUUGCAGGAAGCCCCAUGGCCAGAGGGAAAACUGCACAAGUAGCGGGUGUGGCUGAGAGGACGGCGUUUCUGUAAUGACCCAGAUUUAAAAGACAUAAGGUGGAAUUCAGCAUCAAGGCGCCCCGUGUUUCGUGUCUGGUCAGCUGCCCUCUGCUUUCCGCAGUACCUCAUGGCUGUGCCCUCGCACAGUAGCGGAGGACAGAAAGGCCCUGGGGCCUUCAGCCUCUCUGCUGACAGCACCGAUCCAUUCACUAGGGCUCUGCCUCUCAAAGGGCCCCGCCCCUUAACAGCAUCACCCUUGUGCUUAAGUUCCAGGCUUUGAAUGUUGGAGGGACACACACAUUCAAACCAUAGCACAAAGACAGGAGAGUUCUGGGGUGAGGACAGGAAAAUCCCAGAAUGUGUCACAAACACCCGUCCCUCUGUCCCAUCACCCUCCUAGAAUGUUCCCAGCACCGUGGGCCAUCGAUGGGUCUGUGAGGUGAACGGAUGGGCACAGUUAGGUCUUCUCACUGGGGCACAAGAUCGCCUCCGCUUACUCGUCUUAGACCUGGAAGGUGUCUGGGAGGGACCCACCAGACCGGCUGUGACGCUGCAGACACAGCCCCCUCCCCAACGGCAGGGCUGCACGUCCCGCGUGGGCCUCUCCAGCCACCCGAGCAACCGCCAGCCUUUCUUUGCUUUUUAAUCGUUGAUUUGAAACUGUUGGCCGCUGAAUUCCAGGUGCCUGCUACAGCGCCUGCUGUGUCAGUAGAGGCUUAGCCAAUCCUCAUUCAACAAAUGGCUGGAAUUUGUUCAUCUUCCGCCUGCAUCUUCGUGGUACUCAGGGUCACAGUCACGUGGGGAAGGAAGUGGACAGGCACGCGGCCUCUCUCUGCAUCUUCACGGAACCCAGGUUCACAGUUGCGUGGAAAGGAAGUGGAGUGGACACACGGCCUCUCGAGUCCACACCCACUCACCGUCCUUGCUGCUGUUUUGCAACCCGCUUGAUGAUUGGUCUAGAAGUUUUGAGACUGAGGUAAGUUCUUAGCCUCAGAUUCCAUCUUAUUUAAAGUUAGAAUGAAUAUUUGUCCCUCCUUUUCUUUGGGCCUCUUCUGGGCUUUGGUGUCCGCGAAUUCUCAGCUGUCAUCCGCAGUUCACAGUUCGUUCUCUGUCCUGACUCCUUUGUAACCUGGGAGGCAGUCUGCUUGGGCUCAGGCCUCUGAAACUGCUCAGUAAAUCAGCUCAAGGGAAUCCAGGGAGUUCUGUCUGGCUCCUGAGUUAUGUGCCCGGUCACAGUGCUGCUGCUUUAGGGGGAGCUCCCAAGGGAGGACCGUCUGCAGCUCAGUUACGUCCUCCUGACGUGAACCUCCUGCCUGGCUGGGGGCUCACUUCCCCCCUCUGAAGCCCUUGCUCAUGCUCUGCCAGUGCCCAGGAGGUGCGGCCUCACGGAGGCCAGGGGCGAGAGGAGGCCCAGCUCUCCCCAGCUGCCGUGUCUGAUGCGCUGCCUCGGAAGCACCUGUGGCCAUUGGGCGGCUUCUGCCCUGUGGCUGGUUGGCCUGUGCAGCUUCUGCUCCACGAUGUCCUUGAAUGCGUCCUUCCCAGGCUCCUAAGCAUUGGGUGUUUUUUGAGCCAUAUAGAAAUGUGAAGUUCGUGAAGAAAGAAACAUCCAAAAAGGCCAAUGAUCUGCCCCUCAGCCUCACCCCCAGGGAGGAGCUGGCCCGGUGCUUGUGGGCCUCUCCCAGGUGCAGCCUGCCCUGGCGCUAGCGAUGCCUCCGGGAUCUUCCAGAGGAAGGUGAGACAGGCAACAGGAUGGAGUAAUCGCAGCCUCUAAGAAACACAUUUCACAGCAGAUUAGGAAAACAGACGUGGCAAGAGGUGGGCCGACAGUGCGGGAGGCGGUUCCUUCCCACUGUGGGCUUCCCGUCUGACUUUACAGCAAGGCCGCUUCCACACGGGGGUCUCCAAGCCCACCCUGGUGCCUCGCUGCACGCAGGCUGAGCGCUUUCUUCCAAGGCAGACAGCGGUAAUUUAAUUUUCUCUUUUUCAGUCGUGUUUUUGUUAUUUAGAAAACACUUUUCUUUCAACAUUUGCCACAUCAGUAGAAGUAAAUUAAAACGUUCGUUACCUCACGUGUGGUUAUUUGUGUGCUGAGGAUACCCCGCUUGCUGUGCUGGACUGAGCUCUUGAGGACGGAGGCACUUCUGUUUUCUCACAGUCAUCGCCCCCGGGUGCUUCGGACACGGGAGGUGCUCAGUGAAUGGUGGCGCGGGGGAUGGCUGAGUGGCAGUUGUGUCUGCAGGACAGAGUCAUAUCGGAAUGUACAAGCGCAAUUGGAUAUGCAGACUUUUAUUCCUGGAGGCUACAGUCUGGUCCCUCAAUGACCCCACACCCCCCUCAAUUAUUUACAAAAUUCCAUUUGACAUAAACUGGAGUCAAGAGGGGGGUCUAGUCGUGGCUGUGGUUUACCCAGUGACAUGUAGAUGUUCAAGGUCCCAGGUAUGGUAAAAGCACAAGUAGGAAAUUUAAGUUUUGGGGCCUCACAAUAAAAUGGCAGAUGGUUAACAUCAUCAGCUCUUCCAAAUCUCACUAAAAUGCUCAGGAAGACGCAAAGAGGAGGCAUGGCCCUCCUACUAAGGAAGGUUCCGCUAAUCUCGGACUGACUCCUAAUGAACAGAUGGCUGGUCCUGGACUGGAGAACAUGGCACAGAACCGGGCAGCCUCUGCACCCUGAGGUCCACAUCUGCCCCCGAGACAGCAGCUCCUCCAAGCAGUGGGUGCUGCCCUGGGCGACAGCACCACCGUCCAACAGCACCUCUGGCCUCCCAUCCUCUUGGAGACUCAACACCAGGAACGCCCCGCAGGUGGUGAAAUGCCAAAAUGUAAUUUCGCCAGAAAUAAUCUCUGAAGAUACAGAGAUUAGCAUAGUCACACACAGUCCUGAAUGCGGAAGUAGGCUUUUAAAAAUAGUUGAUUUAGAAUAUCUGAGAGACAGUGAAGCCUGGGAGAGAAGAUGCUGCUUUAGCUGAGCUGAUCCUGGAAAAGCGUCUGCCUGGGCAGGACUGUAGACAGUCCCCACUCACUCCAGGGAGUAGACAAGAGGAAGGGUGCACCUGGCCCUGUCCCCAAUCCAGUGUGUAGACAAGAGCCAGGGUCCACCCCGCCCUGCUUGUUGGCAGCCCGUCUGGAGAGGACCCCAUGACAGCAGAGGCAGUGCCGCGGAACGAAUCAUCGCACAGCAGCAAAGGUGUGAUAUACUGCACGGGGACCAGCCUCUAUAUGAUUCCAGGUGUGAGCCACCAUGCCCAGGCCUCUCUAGGAUUCCAGGUGUGAGCAGCGUGCCCGGCCUAUAUAUGAUUCCAGUUGUGAGCUACUGAAUCUGGCCCAGCCCAUCUGAUCUUGCAUGUUGUCCACGUUUUCCAUCACAGCCUUUAAUGUGUCAGUCAUAGUUAUUUAAAAUCCCCUUUCAAAUAGUUCCAA